GAGUUCAAAUAGUGUCAGUAUCGUAGCCGAUGAGGCUUAGCCGGGACGCGACUGUUGCUUCUUGAAAACUUUUCCCAAAGCCCCACUUUGACAACUUGAAAUAUAGUCAGCAAGGGCAACUUUUGACAGUCUCUGCGGAGA